rnacentral:rRNA from 1 species
GGCUCAGGAUGAACGCUGGCGGCGUGCUUAACACAUGCAAGUCGAACGGGAAUGUUUCGCUGAUGCGAUUUCGGUCAAAUCUUGAAGCAUUUUAGUGGCGGACGGGUGAGUAACGCGUGGGUAACCUGCCCUGUACAGGGGGACAACAGUUGGAAACGACUGCUAAUACCGCAUAAGCGCACAGCUUCGCAUGAAGCAGUGUGAAAAACUCCGGUGGUACAGGAUGGACCCGCGUCUGAUUAGAUAGUUGGUGAGGUAACGGCCCACCAAGUCAACGAUCAGUAGCCGGCCUGAGAGGGCGAACGGCCACAUUGGGACUGAGACACGGCCCAAACUCCUACGGGAGGCAGCAGUGGGGAAUAUUGCACAAUGGGGGAAACCCUGAUGCAGCGACGCCGCGUGUGUGAAGAAGUAUUUCGGUAUGUAAAGCUCUAUCAGCAGGGAAGAAAGACAUGACGGUACCUGACUAAGAAGCCCCGGCUAACUACGUG